rnacentral:lncRNA from 1 species
UGGAUACUAAAGCAACUCAAAAUAUACACAAUUAGCAACAUGAUCAUAUAUAUAGGACCUCAAACUACUACGUACUUCUCAACCUCUUGCAUUCAUUAUAAGUAGCAACAUGAUCAUAAAGCAAAAGUUCCCGUUCUGUUUCGUGAUAUAGAGGAGCUUCAAAUUGAAACUUAGCUGCAGGAAAGCGCUCUCCGCAUCUUCGUCUUCGCGGGGAUGUCGUAGCCGUGGAGGACGCACGGCUCGACGGACUCGCGGGGGAGGAGGAGGGUGCAGCCGGAAGGCCUCCUUUAUCGCAGCGCGAAUGUAGUGCAGCUGCCAGAUGUCGCUCUCCUCCACCUCGCCUUUGUCGCCGGCAAUUCUUGUAACCUCUUCUUGAGCUUUCCUCAUAAUGUGGGGGUGCCGAUUGAGCAAGCUCAGUCAUGACCCACUCCAGAGUUGUAGAGGUGGAAUCAAUGCCCGCAACAAGCAUGUCCUAUUCGUCCAAUGCAGUUAUAGUUUUCAAAUGAUAUUGUUAAUUUGAACGCGGAGGUAAUAUAUUUUUAAAAUGGAAAAAUUUUAAAUACCACUUUUAUAAUUUCACACUUUCUCACUUUAUUAUCCUGUAGUUUAAAAUGUAUCAAUUUAGUAUUUUGUAGUUUCAUUUUUAUCUUUUUAUUAUCAAUUUUACUAAUUUUUUUCGUUAAAUCAGUGACAAAGUUAAAACUAAAAGAUACUAAAGUGAAUAUUCAAUAAAUAUAGAUAGAAUAUCUGAAGUUUUUUAUAUAUAUAAUUUAAUAAAAUAUUAAUGGAGGAACUGACGAAAAGAUAAAAAUAAAAUCACAUGACACUAAUUUAAUACACUUUAAAUCAUAAAAUACUAAAAUAAAAAAAUAUAAAACUAAAUGGGUGGUAUCUAAUUAAAGCUUAUCCUUUUAAAAUAAGUUACUUCUUUAUACAUAGUAAUUUUAGAUGAUAAAGUAUUCUAAUGCAUCAUAUUUGAUCUUAAUUUUCAAGCUGUUUGAUUUACAGUAUGCUUUUUAAGAUGUCAGAAAAUGAGACGCCGGAUUAGCUAUGAAAUCCCACGCUGUGCUGUCACACGAAUCUGACGCGACGUCGACCAAAGUUAAAAAUUUUAGUAAAAUCUUAUAAUCUCUUCAAAUGUUUGAAUUCAAAAAUCCACCUCCUCUCUUGGUAUUUUUGUGGUCGUAGUUAGUAGCCUACCCUAGCUUGUCUUGUGAUAGAUAACAAAUUAUUUUAAAAAAAAUUAAAAAGAUAAAAUGUAUUUUCAAAUUUUUAUUUUUUAUCAUCGAGCAGGUGGAGGUGGCCGAUGACGGCCGGGAGGGACGGCGGAGACCGAGG